rnacentral:rRNA from 1 species
GACGAACGCUGGCGGCGUGCUUAACACAUGCAAGUCGAACGGUAAGGCCCUUCGGGGUACACGAGUGGCGAACGGGUGAGUCACACGUGGGUGAUCUGCCCUGCACUUCGGGAUAAGCCUGGGUAACUGGGUCUAAUACCGGAUAGGACUCCUGGCUUCAUGGUUGGGGGUGGAAAGCUUUUGCGGGGUGGGAUGGGCCCGCGGCCUAUCAGCUUGUGGGUGGGGUAAUGGCCUACCAAGGCGACGACGGGUAGCCGGCCUGAGAGGGUGACCGGUCACACUGGGACUGAGAGACGGCCCAGACUCCUACGGGAGGCAGCAGUGGGGAAUAUUGCACAAUGGGCGCAAGCCUGAUGCAGCGACGCCGCGUGAGGGAUAACGGCCUUCGGGUUGUAAACCUCUUUCAGCUAUGACGAAGCGCAAGUGACGGUAGUAGCAGAAGAAGGACCGGCCAACUACGUGCCAGCAGCCGCAGUAA